rnacentral:rRNA from 1 species
GACGAACGCUGGCGGCGUGCUUAACACAUGCAAGUCGAACGGAAAGGCCCUGCUUUUGUGGGGUGCUCGAGUGGCGAACGGGUGAGUAACACGUGAGUAACCUGCCCUUGACUUUGGGAUAACUUCAGGAAACUGGGGCUAAUACCGGAUAGGAGCUCCUGCUGCAUGGUGGGGGUUGGAAAGUUUCGGCGGUUGGGGAUGGACUCGCGGCUUAUCAGCUUGUUGGUGGGGUAGUGGCUUACCAAGGCUUUGACGGGUAGCCGGCCUGAGAGGGUGACCGGCCACAUUGGGACUGAGAUACGGCCCAGACUCCUACGGGAGGCAGCAGUGGGGAAUAUUGCACAAUGGGCGGAAGCCUGAUGCAGCACAGUACGGCGGGAUGACGGCCUUCGGGUUGUAAACCGCAUUUCGCCUGUGACGAAGCGUGAGUGACGGUAAUG